UGCCUCAGUAACGGCGAGUGAAGCGGCAACAGCUCAAAUUUGAAAUCUGGCCCUAGGCCCGAGUUGUAAUUUGCAGAGGAUGCUUUUGGUGCGGUGCCUUCCAAGUUCCCUAGAACGGGACGCCAGAGAGGGUGAGAGCCCCGUACAGUUGGACACCAAGCCUUUGUAAAGCUCCUUCGACGAGUCCAGUAAUUUGGGAAUGCUGCUCAAAAUGGGAGGUAUAUUUCUUCUAAAGCUAAAUACCGGCCAGAGACCGAUAGCGCACAAGUAGAGUGAUCGAAAGAUGAAAAGCACUUUGAAAAGAGGGUUAAACAGCACGUGAAAUUGUUAAAAGGGAAGCGCUUGUGACCAGACUUGCGUCCGGUGAAUCACCCAGCUCUCGCGGCUGGGGCACUUCGCCGGCUCAGGCCAGCAUCAGCUCGCUGUCGGGGACAAAAGCUUCAGGAACGUAGCUCUCUUCGGGGAGUGUUAUAGCCUGUUGCAUAAUACCCUUCGGCGGGCUGAGGUACGCGCUCCGCAAGGAUGCUGGCAUAAUGGUCAUCAGCGACCCGUCUUGAAACACGGACCAAGGAGUCAACCUUAUGUGCGAGUGUUCGGGUGUCAAACCCCUACGCGUAAUGAAAGUGAACGCAGGUGAGAGCUUCGGCGCAUCAUCGACCGAUCCUGAUGUUCUCGGAUGGAUUUGAGUAAGAGCAUAUAGGGUUGGACCCGAAGAAAGUGAACUAUGCGUGUAUAGGGUGAAGCCAGAGGAAACUCUGGUGGAGGCUCGCA
rnacentral:rRNA from 1 species